CUCUGUUAGCAUGAACUAGGCU
rnacentral:miRNA from 1 species